GCCGGAGUGGGAGGACACGGACAAGUUGCUACACGCGUUGGAUAGGAAAAAGCAGCGGAAGAUCAAAGAUUGGGCCAGCCAUCACAGGAAGUAUGUCGUGCAGUUCGCUCUUAGUGUGGAGCAAGCAAGGGCUGGAAAACGAGCCCAGCUUCGUGAGCACUGCCCGGAUGCGUUCAACAACUAUCUCACAUGGUUUCUUGCAAGUACCCGCGUGAAGGUAUGCCAGCCGGCUUAUGCUGAGGAGAUUCUGGAGGAACCCACCGUUUUUGAUGAGGUAGCCCAGCACCAGUACAACGCAUUAGUCAGGAAAGGCAACUCGGUGAUCCCUUCAGCUCCAAUGAUGAACUUUGUGCGUGCCCAGAUCAAGAAAGCAGCUGACGAGACCGAGACUAUUCUGGAAACAACCUCGGCUGGCAAAAGUGAUGGGGAAGGUGCACUUUGAGAAUUCAUUAAGGUUCACAUCUCCUUCAAACUAGCACUUAACAUUUGUUGGUACGUUCCAUGUCUCAUUCACUUGUACAUGUUGCAGCGCCAGGGCCAAAAGUUAAGGCGGCUAUCAAACCUUUUCGGUUGUCGUGACCCCGAGUAUGUAUCACCAGAACGGUCUAGGUCGGCGGCACCAUCAGAUCCCGCUUCGGGGCAGAGCCAUGGUGAACCUUUCACGGAUGAGGAUGUGGGUGGGGUCACCCAAGAGGUUGCUGAUGAUAUGACCUUGGGGACGUACCGGGCUCGGUCUGCAUACGAGUUGAAGCCUAGGAGGGGAAUCAACAAGUACACACCUGAAGACUUCACCCAAAGAGGCAAAAGGACGGUCGGCACCUCGCGGAUGGCGGCUUUGGAUGACUAUUUGGAUGACGAUGUCAAACCGGUGGCGGAGCCGGAGCCGGAGCGGGUUCCUCUUCCUAGGAAGGUGAAGAAGAUAAGCGUCAAGAGGGAGGAGGAC